rnacentral:rRNA from 1 species
UACGGAGGAUCCAAGCGUUAUCCGGAUUUAUUGGGCUUAAAGGGUGCGUAGGCGGUUUAUUAAGUCAGUGGUUAAAGCCCGGAGCUCAACUUCGGAACUGCCAUUGAUACUGAUAGACUUGAGUACAGAUGAAGUGGGCGGAAUGUGACAAGUAGCGGUGAAAUGCUUAGAUAUGUCACAGAACACCGAUUGCGAAGGCAGCUCACUAAAGUGUAACUGACGCUGAGGCACGAAAGCGUGGGGAGCAAACAGG